AGAGUUUGAUCAUGGCUCAGGAUAAACGCUGGCGGCGCACAUAAGACAUGCAAGUCGAACGGAAGUCGUUAUGAUGAUUUCAACACUGACAGAGAACUUGUUCAAAGAAAGUAGAGAUUGACUUAUAACAAUGGCUUUAGUGGCGGACUGGUGAGUAACACGUGAGCAACCUGCCUAUCAGAGGGGAAUAACAGUGAGAAAUCAUUGCUAAUACCGCAUAUGCCAUAAAUAUCACAUGAUGAAAGUGGGAAAGGAGUAAUCCGCUGAUAGAUGGGCUCGCGUCUGAUUAGAUAGUUGGUGGGGUAACGGCCUACCAAGUCGACGAUCAGUAGCCGGACUGAGAGGUUGAACGGCCACAUUGGGACUGAGAUACGGCCCAGACUCCUACGGGAGGCAGCAGUCGGGAAUAUUGCGCAAUGGAGGAAACUCUGACGCAGUGACGCCGCGUAUAGGAAGAAGGUUUUCGGAUUGUAAACUAUUGUCGUUAGGGAAGAUACAAGACAGUACCUAAGGAGGAAGCUCCGGCUAACUACGUGCUAGCAGCCGCGGUAAUACGUAGGGAGCAAGCGUUAUCCGGAUUUAUUGGGUGUAA
rnacentral:rRNA from 1 species